rnacentral:tRNA from 1 species
GCAACUGUAGCUCAAUUGGUAGAGUGCUAGCCUUAAGGACAAAAGCUCAAGAAUAGUACCCAGGCCCUGAGUUCAAGCCCCAGCACUUGCC